rnacentral:rRNA from 1 species
UACGGGGGGAGCAAGCGUUGUUCGGAUUUACUGGGCGUAAAGGGCGCGUAGGCGGCCUCCGCAAGUCAGUUGUGAAAUCUCCGAGCUUAACUCGGAAAGGUCAACUGAUACUGCGGGGCUAGAGUGCGGAAGGGGCAACUGGAAUUCUUGGUUUAGCGGUGAAAUGCGUAGAUAUCAAGAGGAACACCUGCGGCGAAGGCGGGUUGCUGGGCCGACACUGACGCUGAGGCGCGAAAGCUAGGGGAGCGAACGGG